rnacentral:ncRNA from 1 species
GGCACGACGCUUGCGUUACUAAGCACGGGCCGGUCAACGGCGAUCCGCCCACCCCACACAGCCGCAGC